rnacentral:rRNA from 1 species
UGGGGAAUUUUGGACAAUGGGGGCAACCCUGAUCCAGCCAUCCCGCGUGUGCGAUGAAGGCCUUCGGGUUGUAAAGCACUUUUGGCAGGGAAGAAACAGCCUGGGAUAAUACCCCGGGCGACUGACGGUACCUGCAGAAUAAGCACCGGCUAACUACGUGCCUAGCAGCCGCGGUAAUACGUAGGGUGCAAGCGUUAAUCGGAAUUACUGGGCGUAAAGCGUGCGCAGGCGGUUCGGAAAGAAAGGUGUGAAAUCCCAGGGCUUAACCUUGGAACUGCACUUUUAACUACCGAGCUAGAGUACGUCAGAGGGGGGUAGAAUUCCACGUGUAGCAGUGAAAUGCGUAGAGAUGUGGAGGAAUACCGAUGGCGAAGGCAGCCCCCUGGGAUGAUACUGACGCUCAUGCACGAAAGCGUGGGGAGCAAACAGGAUUAGAUACCCUGGUAGUCCACGCCCUAAACGAUGUCAACUAGCUGUUGGGGUUUAUUAACCUUAGUAGCGCAGCUAACGCGUGAAGUUGACCGCCUGGGGAGUACGGUCGCAAGAUUAAAAC